AGUCCUGGCUGGCCCGGAGGAGGAUCGGCUGUGGCAAGGAAGGCGGGCUUGGGCUCCAGGCGAGGGCCUGUGACAGCCCGAGGCCGCACCUGUGUGCCAUGGGCUCUGGCCUGGGCCAGCGAUCCUGGCGGAGGGGGCGGCCUGCAAGGCCCCCCAUGUGCACCAGCAGGCCGCACUCCAGGCUGGAGGAGGGCGAGGAACUCAGUGGGCAGCCCAGGGAAAGGGCCAACUGUGGGCACCCUGCCCCUUGCCAUCCCGUCCCCCUUGAAGAGAGGCUGAAAGUCCAACUCGGUCCUGGCCUGCAACCGGGCGUCCUACGAGUACGGGGCCUCGUGUUUCUAUUCUGAUAAGGACCUCAGUGGCGCCUCGCCCUCGGGCAGUGGCAAGCAGAGGGGCCCCGGGGACUACCUGCACUUUUCUCCCGAGCAGCAGUUCAAACCCGACAGCAGCAGCGGGCCGGGCAAAGGCCUCCAUGACGAAGGCACCGACCGGAAGUACACGAGCCCCGUUUACCCCUGGAUGCAGCGGAUGAACUCCUGCGCGGGUGCUGUGUACGGGAGUCACGGGCGCCGAGGCCGCCAGACCUACACCCGCUACCAGACGCUGGAGCUGGAGAAGGAGUUCCACUUCAACCGCUACCUGACGCGGCGCCGCCGCAUCGAGAUCGCCAACGCGCUCUGCCUCACCGAGCGCCAGAUCAAGAUCUGGUUCCAGAACCGCCGCAUGAAGUGGAAGAAGGAAAAUAAACUCAUCAAUUCCACACAGCCCAGCGGGGAGGACGCUGAGGCAAAGGCGGGCGAGUAGACGCCUGGGCAGGGACCAGGCCCGCGCCGCAACCUCCCUUGGCUUUGCCCCCUUGCCUUCGCCUGCUCCCCAACUUUUCUUCCCGCCUGCUCCCAUCCGGGGGGCUUCCGCAGCUUCAGGGGAACCCGGCGCUUUGCAAAGGUCUGAGCAUUUAUUUCGUACAAGGAAACAAAACAAAACCAAACCACACACAGCCAAUCCCAGCGGUGGAGCGGGGCGCACUGCACACGCAGCCCCGCUCGCCAAGGCUGCCCAAGCCGGCUCCAGAUCUCAGGGCGCGCCCCGAAUCCGUCCCCCGCUCUCGUGUCAGCGCCUCUGCACGCCUCUGAGCUCGGGGCGCCGGGGCGCGGGAGAGGAAAGAACCCUCGGGCCGAGCCCCUUUUAGAGGCUGGGCGCUUCCGCCUCGGUUCCUCGCCACCAAGUCCCGGAGGGCAUCGCCACAUCACCUCGGACCACUGGAAAGAGGGGGCCUCAGGGCUGGGGCCCCAGCACUGCCGUGGCCUCCUAGGCCGCCCCCAGGCAGGAAGGAGCGCGAGGAACAAAGAGGGCGGGAGAGAGCUAGUCUCUCGGCCCCGCGCGCAACCGUCCGUGGAAGAGAAGCAGCCUCAGCGCAGCCGAGCCAACCUGGGCGCGGGUGGAACUUUACAGCCCUGGGAACGACUGGGCUCCCGAAGGCUCCGAGCUCCGGAUCCCGGCUCCCUGCCUCUGACAGUGCGGGCGCUGCCACCACAACAGCUUUCAGGACCUAAGGAGGGGGCCCUGGGCUAAGGGAGCGGCCAGAGUCCUGGUUUCCAAACGUGCCAGGGGCGCCUGCGUUGCCUGGCCUUCGGCGGGGAGACCGAGCCCACCCCCCGUGCCUUUAGGCUGUAUUUAUGACUUACUUUCAUCUUACAGAACCCAGGAGGCUAACUACGGAGGUACUAGACACUGCCGCAACAUGCUUUCGUUAGCGCCCUCGUUUUACUCCUGGAGGUCUAAGCAAGACCCUAAUAGCUCGACCCAUGGAUCUCUCGCCCCUAAGCAGCUUCCGAGGCUGCGGGGAGCCUGGGCCCACUCGCUGGGUUCACCGAGAAUCCUCCGACUUGGGGCCGGGUUGGCUCGAGGAAAGGGACCGGGUGGUGAAGAUUCUCCAGGCUGGAUACUUAAAGCAAAUAAAAUAGCAAACUAAUGACACGAAAACCGUAUUUACACGAAAGAAAAAUCGACCCCGGUUAUAAAAGUGUAUGGAAUUUGACCUCGCCUCGGAGAAACACUACACAAAAGCUAUCUUUAAUAGACGCCUGUCAUUUAAGAGCGGCAGGGACACUGUCCCUUAUGCGCUCGCAAAAACAGAGCCGUAAUUGUAGCUGCUGCUGGCAGGAUUUAUUUCUCCAAUUGGCUCAAUGGCCUCCCCCCUUCCCCGAAGGUGAUAUCUGUAUUUUCAAAUUUCAGAGCUGCCGGCACGACGGGCAGAACUGACCCCAACCUCGACACAAAAAUAAGAGGGGCUGCACAGCGGGGAAAUAAAGUUGUUGUAAAUAAAA
rnacentral:lncRNA from 1 species